rnacentral:tRNA from 1 species
GGGCUCGUGGUACGCGUACUCGGGCGUCUCCGGCGCGUCCGCGGCCUCGUCGGGUUCGAGCCGGGCGAGCUCC